GGAUCCAGACUUUGAUUCUGGCUCAGGAUGAACGCUCGGCGGCGCAUUUAAGACAUGCAAGUCGAACGAAAAUUUACGCUUAAAGAGUUGAUUAGUUUACUAAGAGAUGAUUUAUUGUAAAUUUUAGUGGCGGACUGGUGAGUAAUACAUAGGUAAUCUGCCUUUUAGAGGGGAAUAACUAGGAGAAAUCCUAGCUAAUACCGCGUAAGACCACACUUAGGCAUCUAAGAGAGGUCAAAGGAGUAAUCCGCUAAAAGAUGAGCCUGUGGCUGAUUAGUUAGUUGGUGGGGUAAGAGCCUACCAAGACGAUGAUCAGUAGCCGAGCUGAGAGGCUGGCCGGCCACAUUGGGACUGAGAUACGGCCCAGACUCCUACGGGAGGCAGCAGUUGGGAAUAUUGGACAAUGGAGGAAACUCUGAUCCAGUGACGCCGCGUGAAGGAAGAAGGUCUUCGGAUUGUAAACUUAUUUUAUCAGGGAAGAAGAAAGCGACAGUACCUGAAGAAAAAGGACCGGCAAACUACGUGCCAGCAGCCGCGGUAAUACGUAGGGUCCAAGCGUUAUCCGGAUUUACUGGGUGUAAAGGGCGAGUAGACGGCGCUGUAAGUCAGCUGUGAAAACUUAGGGCUCAACCUUAAGCCUGCAGCUGAAACUGUAGUGCUAGAGUGCAGGAGAGGUAAGCGGAAUUCCUAGUGUAGCGGUGAAAUGCGUAGAUAUUAGGAGGAACACCAGUGGCGAAGGCGGCUUACUGGACUGUAACUGACGUUGAGGCGCGAAAGUGUGGGGAGCAAACAGGAUUAGAUACCCUGGUAGUCCACACCGUAAACGAUGGAUACUAGGUGUAGGCGAGAUAUCGUCUGUGCCGGCGCAAACGCAAUAAGUAUCCCACCUGGGGAGUACGGCCGCAAGGUUGCAACUCAAAUGAAUUGACGG
rnacentral:rRNA from 2 species